GAUGAACGCUGGCGGCGUGCCUAAUACAUGCCAGUCGAGCGAACAGACGAGGAGCUUGCUCCUCUGACGUUAGCGGCGGACGGGUGAGUAACACGUGGAUAACCUACCUAUAAGACUGGGAUAACUUCGGGAAACCGGAGCUAAUACCGGAUAAUAUAUUGAACCGCAUGGUUCAAUAGUGAAAGACGGUUUUGCUGUCACUUAUAGAUGGAUCCGCGCCGCAUUAGCUAGUUGGUAAGGUAACGGCUUACCAAGGCAACGAUGCGUAGCCGACCUGAGAGGGUGAUCGGCCACACUGGAACUGAGACACGGUCCAGACUCCUACGGGAGGCAGCAGUAGGGAAUCUUCCGCAAUGGGCGAAAGCUUGACGGAGCAACGCCGCGUGAGUGAUAAAGGUCUUCGGAUCGUAAAACUCUGUUAUUAGGGAAGAACAAAUGUGUAAGUAACUAUGCACGUCUUGACGGUACCUAAUCAGAAAGCCACGGCUAACUACGUG
rnacentral:rRNA from 1 species